GGCGGACGGCUGAGUAACACGUAGGAACGUACCCCAAACUGAGGGAUAAGCACCAGAAAUGGUGUCUAAUACCGCAUGUGCUCUUCGGAGUAAAGCUACGGCGGUUUGGGAACGGCCUGCGUCUGAUUAGAUUGUUGGUGAGGUAACGGCUCACCAAGUCGACGAUCAGUAGCUGGUCUGAGAGGAUGAUCAGCCAGACUGGGACUGAGAACGGCCCAGACUCCUACGGGAGGCAGCAGUAGGGAAUUUUCCACAAUGGACGAAAGUCUGAUGGAGCAACGCCGCGUGCAGGAUGAAUGCCUUCGGGUUGUAAACUGCUUUUAUAUGUGACGAAUAUGACGGUAGCAUAUGAAUAAGGAUCGGCUAACUCCGUGCCAGCAGCCGCGGUCAUACGGAGGAUCCAAGCGUUAUCCGGAAUUACUGGGCGUAAAGAGUUGCGUAGGUGGCAUAGUAAGCAAAUAGUGAAAGCGUGGGGCUCAACCUCAUAUCCAUUAUUUGAACUGCUAAGCUAGAGGACGAGAGAGGUCGCUGGAAUUCCCUGUGUAGGAGUGAAAUCCGUAGAUAUAGGGAGGAACACCGAUGGCGUAGGCAGGCGACUGGCUCGUUCCUGACACUAAGGCACGAAAGCGUAGGGAGCAAACGGGAUUAGAUACCCCGGUAGUCCACGCCGUAAACGAUGGAUGCUAGCUGUUAACCGUAUCGACCCGGUUAGUAGCGAAGCUAACGCGUUAAGCAUCCCGCCUGUGGAGUACGGUCGCAAGACUAAAACAUAAAGGAAUUGACGG
rnacentral:rRNA from 1 species